AUUUAGAUAGUUUAUAAAAAAUAAAGAAUUGUGGUUUCUUAGAUGAUAGGGAUAUCUUUAAAUU
rnacentral:tRNA from 1 species